GGGUUGUGAGGUUAAGCGACUAAGCGUACACGGUGGAUGCCCUGGCAGUCAGAGGCGAUGAAGGGCGUGCUAAUCUGCGAUAAGCGCCGGUAAGGUGAUAUGAACCGUUAUAACCGGCGAUACCCGAAUGGGGAAACCCAGUGUGACUCGUCACACUAUCAUUAACUGAAUCCAUAGGUUAAUGAGGCGAACCGGGGGAACUGAAACAUCUAAGUACCCCGAGGAAAAGAAAUCAACCGAGAUUCCCCCAGUAGCGGCGAGCGAACGGGGAGGAGCCCAGAGCCUGAAUCAGCAUGUGUGUUAGUGGAAGCGUCUGGAAAGGCGCGCGAUACAGGGUGACAGCCCCGUACACAAAAGCGCAUGUGCUGUGAGCUCGAUGAGUAGGGCGGGACACGUGGUAUCCUGUCUGAAUAUGGGGGGACCAUCCUCCAAGGCUAAAUACUCCUGACUGACCGAUAGUGAACCAGUACCGUGAGGGAAAGGCGAAAAGAACCCCGGCGAGGGGAGUGAAAAAGAACCUGAAACCGUGUACGUACAAGCAGUGGGAGCNNNNNNNNNNNNNNNNNNNNNNNNNNNNNGGGCGUUAAGUUGCAGGGUAUAGACCCGAAACCCGGUGAUCUAGCCAUGGGCAGGUUGAAGGUUGGGUAACACUAACUGGAGGACCGAACCGACUAAUGUUGAAAAAUUAGCGGAUGACCUGUGGCUGGGGGUGAAAGGCCAAUCAAACCGGGAGAUAGCUGGUUCUCCCCGAAAGCUAUUUAGGUAGCGCCUCGUGAAUUCAUCUCCGGGGGUAGAGCACUGUUUCGGCUAGGGGGCCAUCCCGGCUUACCAACCCGAUGCAAACUGCGAAUACCGGAGAAUGUUAUCACGGGAGACACACGGCGGGUGCUAACGUCCGUCGUGAAGAGGGAAACAACCCAGACCGCCAGCUAAGGUCCCAAAGUCAUGGUUAAGUGGGAAACGAUGUGGGAAGGCCCAGACAGCCAGGAUGUUGGCUUAGAAGCAGCCAUCAUUUAAAGAAAGCGUAAUAGCUCACUGGUCGAGUCGGCCUGCGCGGAAGAUGUAACGGGGCUAAACCAUGCACCGAAGCUGCGGCAGCGANNUGCUGGAGGUAUCAGAAGUGCGAAUGCUGACAUAAGUAACGAUAAAGCGGGUGAAAAGCCCGCUCGCCGGAAGACCAAGGGUUCCUGUCCAACGUUAAUCGGGGCAGGGUGAGUCGACCCCUAAGGCGAGGCCGAAAGGCGUAGUCGAUGGGAAACGGGUUAAUAUUCCCGUACUUGGUGUUACUGCGAAGGGGGGACGGAGAAGGCUAUGUUGGCCGGGCGACGGUUGUCCCGGUUUAAGCGUGUAGGUGUGUGUUCCAGGUAAAUCCGGUUCACUUUAACACUGAGGCGUGANNNNNNNNNNNNNNNNNNNNNNNNNNNNNNNNNNNNNNNNNNNNNNNNNNGGAGCUGAAGUCAGUCGAAGAUACCAGCUGGCUGCAACUGUUUAUUAAAAACACAGCACUGUGCAAACACGAAAGUGGACGUAUACGGUGUGACGCCUGCCCGGUGCCGGAAGGUUAAUUGAUGGGGUCAGCGCAAGCGAAGCUCCUGAUCGAAGCCCCGGUAAACGGCGGCCGUAACUAUAACGGUCCUAAGGUAGCGAAAUUCCUUGUCGGGUAAGUUCCGACCUGCACGAAUGGCGUAAUGAUGGCCAGGCUGUCUCCACCCGAGACUCAGUGAAAUUGAACUCGCUGUGAAGAUGCAGUGUACCCGCGGCAAGACGGAAAGACCCCGUGAACCUUUACUAUAGCUUGACACUGAACAUUGAGCCUUGAUGUGUAGGAUAGGUGGGAGGCUUUGAAGUGUGGACGCCAGUCUGCAUGGAGCCGACCUUGAAAUACCACCCUUUAAUGUUUGAUGUUCUAACGUGGACCCGUUACCCGGGUUGCGGACAGUGUCUGGUGGGUAGUUUGACUGGGGCGGUCUCCUCCUAAAGAGUAACGGAGGAGCACGAAGGUUGGCUAAUCCUGGUCGGACAUCAGGAGGUUAGUGCAAUGGCAUAAGCCAGCUUGACUGCGAGCGUGACGGCGCGAGCAGGUGCGAAAGCAGGUCAUAGUGAUCCGGUGGUUCUGAAUGGAAGGGCCAUCGCUCAACGGAUAAAAGGUACUCCGGGGAUAACAGGCUGAUACCGCCCAAGAGUUCAUAUCGACGGCGGUGUUUGGCACCUCGAUGUCGGCUCAUCACAUCCUGGGGCUGAAGUAGGUCCCAAGGGUAUGGCUGUUCGCCAUUUAAAGUGGUACGCGAGCUGGGUUUAGAACGUCGUGAGACAGUUCGGUCCCUAUCUGCCGUGGGCGCUGGAGAACUGAGGGGGGCUGCUCCUAGUACGAGAGGACCGGAGUGGACGCAUCACUGGUGUUCGGGUUGUCAUGCCAAUGGCACUGCCCGGUAGCUAAAUGCGGAAGAGAUAAGUGCUGAAAGCAUCUAAGCACGAAACUUGCCCCGAGAUGAGUUCUCCCUGAGACUUAGAGUCUCCUGAAGGAACGUUGAAGACGACGACGUUGAUAGGCCG
rnacentral:rRNA from 1 species